AGAGAGGAUUCUGGGAAUUAGAGGCCAGUAAGACUCCCCUGGAAAUAUCAUGGAAGGCAGAAGCAAGGGAGCUGAGAAGAGGAGACUGCUUGCUGCUUGGUUAUUUCUAUGGACUUCUCCAAAUCUCUGAACAAAGUUCUGAGAACCUGGAAUACCUGGUUCCGACGUCUACUGCAGGACAUCGGAACAGGGGGCCUAGCAGUAAAUACUGGGAAACAUUUCUGACCCCCAAAGGCAGAGUGUUUUGUGAAGAUCCAUCCAGUGAGUUUGUCUUCAUCUCGAUUCCAAUGGACCACCCAUCUCUCCAGAGCAAAGCUCCAGUGGUGGAUCAUUUCACAGGCCAGCCUGCCCUCUGCUGACCAGAGUUGGAAACUAUGGUUAAUUCGUCUGAGAAAGGGCUCAUCUAAAACUGUUCACCCCUUGCAGCUGAGGGACACAACUCACCUCAGUCUUUUCUACCUUUGCUCUCCUUGGCUAUAGGAGCACCCUUGUAUAAAGUUCCCACCAAGAACACGAUUUCUAGAACCUUCCCCCUCAGCUUCCAUCAAUCAGGGUGGUUGACAGUAUAAUGUAACCAUGAUUUGCUGAAGAGUGACACCCUGACUCAAAUAGUAUGUAAAUGCAGAGUGUUUUAUUCUGCAGAAGUCCAGCAUGCUGGGGUCUCCCAUUACCAAGAUAGACAGACAACUGCGCUUCCAGGCCUGAUUUAAAGCACAUCAGAGGAAUUCCAGGGUAGGUGAGCUUUAUCUUACUCUAUUUCUAGGCAUUCCACAACCAUUACCGGUGCGUGGGGGCUGGAGCCUGGGGUUUUUCCUAUUAACUGACUUGCCUGGGCUUGCCUGGGCUUGCCCAGUUCUUGGAAACAGAGUUUUAGGCCUAGUUUCCUUAACUGCCAAUUUGAAGCCUGUCGUGGAAUCAGCCUAUCUCUUCCCUUUCAUUACCACCACCACCUUUCAGUUUGAGGCCAUCCUUGAGAUGUUUCUAUGGACUGGUACUGUUGUUUGAGAAUAAAUCUGUUCCUUAACAAACCUAA